UGAGGAAUAUUGGUCAAUGGGCGGAAGCCUGAACCAGCCAAGUCGCGUGAAGGAAGAAGGAUCUAUGGUUUGUAAACUUCUUUUGAAGGGGGAUAAAGUGCGUCACGAGUGGUGCAUUGCAGGUACCCUUGGAAUAAGCAUCGGCUAACUCCGUGCCAGCAGCCGCGGUAAUACGGAGGAUGCGAGCGUUAUCCGGAUUUAUUGGGUUUAAAGGGUGCGUAGGUGGCUUUUUAAGUCAGCGGUGAAAACUGGCGGCUCAACCGCAAGAGUGCCGUUGAAACUGGGGAGCUAGAGUAUGAACGAGGUAGGCGGAAUGUGUGGUGUAGCGGUGAAAUGCAUAGAUAUCACGCAGAACUCCGAUAGCGAAGGCAGCUUACCAGGCCAUAACAGACACUGAAGCACGAAAGCGUGGGGAUCGAACA
rnacentral:rRNA from 1 species